rnacentral:lncRNA from 1 species
UUGCCAUUUCCUCCGCAUUCUGCUCCAUCCGAACCAUCUCAAACCAACUUCUCACAAAUAUAUCAUCGCCUCGCUUCUCUCUCGGAAGAGUUGAACGCCGAGUGAGAGAGAGAGCGAGAGAGAGAUAUGGGAGACGAGGGAGCGCACAAAGAGACGAGGAGGACCAAGGACGACGAGGGAUUUCCUCCGGGAGGCGUCCACUUCAUCCACCCCCGAAACGAGGUGUACCUGCUUCUGGUGGUGAGCAGCACCGUUCUGGUGCUCCUCAGCGUCGCCGCCAUCUCGGUUUGGUUCGUCGAGGGGCGUAGGGACGAGGCCUACCGAUGGAUGGCACUGUACUCCAUGGCCGUUCUAUGCUUGGUGGCCUCGCUCUGGAUCUUCCGCCUCAUCCGUCUCCUCGUCCACUUCUUGCACUUCUAUCCUCGUCCCAGGCGUGCGCAGGUCCUCGUCAACCCGGAUAUCACCUCCCCCAUCAGCGACUGAGAAACUUUGGAGUUCCGACCCAGUUCUUCCUUCAUAAGCUUCGCUGGCUAUUUCCAUGUCUUCAGCUCUAUACAUACACUUCUUCUCUUACUCUAAAGCAGUCCACUCAAAAGUACAGAUCAUAUCUCUACUGUAAUGAGACUAUGAAGGUGCUGUAACAUGCUCUUAUCUUGCUUUGCUUGUAAGUAUUUGCUUAAUUGACUUAGAUGGUGCAGGCUACUUGUGCUCUACAAAGUACUUCAUAGACUCAAAAGUGUCACAUUUGGAACAAAA